UAUUAUACUUCUUGAUAUAUCAGACCAUUCGCAACUUUAUGACAAUAAAACAUUUUUAAUACUUAUAUCUCAUUCAAAUUGCGCCAUAUCCCAACAUGUUUAAGGUCUAGACAGUGAAGAUUGUGAAGAUUACCAAACGAAAACUAAAAAAUGAAAUGGAGUGAACGGUUUAAAGCACCUUUAAAUUAAAUAAGCUCAUAUUUAAUGGUACUAUCAACUUAAAUUCCUUGAGCUAUUCCUAUUUUAACACUGUUAACAGGAGAAGCAACGGAAGUCAUUCAUAUAAUUCUCAACUACGCGAAGCCAGAAAAAUGACAACAAAAUGAUUUAGGAUUGUACGCUUAGCCCAAGAAUACUGUGUCACACACAUCUUCACGACAUGGAAUUGAAUGAGACUAUGAAGAUUUCACCGCAAAUAAUUUUCUCGCAGGUUUCAAAGGUCACAUCAAUAGUGCGACCACCUCCUCUUCUUUCAAUGAAGUUAUCAACAAUCUGUUAGUUCAAUAUACUAAAAGGCCUACUGUUUAACUACAAAGUACAACAGCAGCCAUUUUAAAUCUGAUCAAUCAAUCCACAAUGUCGCAUUAAACUCACAUGGGGCGAGAAUUUGAUUGUAGAACAGGAAUUACAAGAAUAUAAAAUUCAAUAAUGUAACGGGAUCACAAAAUCCUACCGCUGCCAACAAUACAAUGGUCAUUAUACACAAAUGCAAGGGACUGUCAAAGUUUAUUUACGUUAAAUUUAAUUGAAAAAUUUUUACAUGUCAAUCAAGCAUCGGGUAUAGAUUUUUCUUGGACUUCUGAGGAAAAUUAAUUUCGUGAGAUUUUUUGAAAUUUAUUAUCGUAUUGUUUCAUUUUUUAUAUCUCUUCCUAUGUGGUACUUCACAGCAAUGUGAAACUAAAAUUGUAAAAUUGUUGGCAUUAAUAUGAUGCGUGCCAAGCGAGUUAUUAUAUUUAACGCCAUUUGGAAUCCUUGUCCGAACAGUUUACGGCUGAUUUGUAACAUUAGGAAGAUAUCAAUUUUGCAAUUCAUUGUAACAAAAACCUAAUUUAAAACAUGAAGGGAGUGCAAAUUUUGUUUUUCUUUAUUAUUAAACUUUUUUCAUAAGGAUUAGGAUAUUGUGUAAGUGAGGCCUUCUCAUCAAUUUCAGCUAAAAGGAGACAAUUUGAAGAAAAAUUUGACUUUAUGCAACAAAAAGGAAAGAGAAGAGAGUACAUGACUUGUUCAUCCAUAACGGGACGGGCUUAACUAGCAAUUAACCAACAAUGGCGAUGACGUUUUCUAAUCGCAGUAAAAAAAAAACAGAAAUAUUCCAAGUAUUUAUAUUUUGUUAAUGUGAUGCAAUCUGGCUAAGAUGUGAACGAAACCGAGUUCAUAUAACGUCCUUUUAGGGAUUCAAAUGAAAAGAUAUAAUUUGGUGAAUUUGCAUAAAGUCAUAAGUUAUUCUGGAACAAUUUUCACAACGAAUUGUUGAAAAUUAUACCUGUACAGCCUGUACAGCUACCUAACGGCUCAUAGCGAAAAACCAAAGCCUUUUAGAAGUGCGCAAAGAGCUUGGUGAAAAACUGAAAUCGAGUGAAAAAUUACCAAAAAUAUAUUAUUACUACUAUAAUAAUUUUGGACUAAUGAAGUAAAUUCUUAGACUAAAAAAAGACAUUGAGCACUAGCAACACAGAUUAUCGGCUCUAAUUUAUAUAAAUG